GCCGGGGUGGUCUAGUGGGAGGACGCCGCGCCCUCAACGCGGUAGCUAGGGUUCGAGUCCCUACCUCGGUACCG
rnacentral:tRNA from 1 species